UUCUGCCCAUCCUCUCCAUCCCACACCCCUGCUCCCUCCCUCCAUCUUUGUGAUCCCAUGCUGUGUUUAAUUGUAGAGUUAAAAACCAAAACGUGAGUGAAGUAGAUCAGAACAUAGGCAGGGGACUCACGUAGAGGCACAAUGUCUAUCCUAGGAUUAAAAGCGAGCUUGAUUGAAGUCAGACUAGUCCACGCAAGUGAAUAAGCAAAGGGAACAGCUCAGGGAGUGAGUGAGUGAGUGAGUGAGUGAGUGAAAGAGUGUGGGAGGAAGAAAGAGCCAGAAAGGGGAGACAGCGCAGUAUGUAGGGGGAGUGAGAGAGAGAGAGAGAGACAGAGAGGGAGGGAGAGAGAGAGGGAGGGAGGGAGAGGCAGGAAGCGUGCCACUGCUACUGAGACAGAAAUGCAGGGAGGGCGCAGGAGAGAGAGGGGAAGAGGGAGGCCCACUGCAGCAAGGGGUAACAAGGGAAAACGGUAAGAGGCAAGAGGAGGGGAGGAAGAGAGAGAGACGGAGAGCAUCCAGGAGGAGGAGGGGGGGGGGGUAAGAGGGAUAACAUCAAGACACAAGCCAAAGCAGGAAACGGAGGACUGGAAGGAGGGGGGUGCGCGAGGUGCACCGGGAGCGGAGUAAAGUUGGAGGAAGACGAGAGGGAGAGAAGAAAAGCCCAUUCAAUGCUAAUUCAAGUGGCGGGAAACGGACGACAGGCGUUUGCAGGACUCCUCCUCUGCACCGACGGGGCUUCUCCACCAUGCUCGCAGAUGCCAGGCAGGGAGGCCGGGACAAUAUCUACCAAAACAACAACAGCACACACCACCCGUGGCCAUACAAGGUACUGGGGCAGGAGAUGGGGCAAACUGAUAGUGGACACAAGAUGACAUGUGACAGAAACAGGCGCUUGCGAUUUGCGGCAAAAGAGCACAUUUCCAAAUCCCAGGAGAGCACCGGCAGCAGCGACCUUUCAAACAGACCCUGGCGUCAGACAAAGCUCCCUUUUGCCUUGCAGGAAGGCCAUGCGCGGCCAGAUGUGGCCGGAUACAGCUGUGCGCCUGAGGCGAGCUCUGUGAAGUGGAACAGGUCCGUGGGACGGGAGCAGAAACACUGCUUGUUUGUGAGGGACUACUACAGAGAAUGCCGCUUUGUUGGGAACUUCCACCAGACCAACACACACCCCUCAAGGAAGUGCUCGCCUGCUCCACCAACACAGUUCAGAGGUCAAGAAAACUGUAGAGUGCCUGUUUGCGGGCAGGGACAACAGCGGGGCUCUGUGAGAGACCCCUUUCAGAGAGAGCCAUAUGGAGCUGACAUGCUUGAGACAGGUAAACAAGACCUGAGUGCACACGACUAUUUAAAAGCUACUUUAAAUUUGGAUUCUGAUUGCAAACUGGAUAACAGCCAGAGAGGUCAAGUCACACCCAAGGUCCUGAAACAGGAGAGCCUCAAUAAAUCCAGCUCCAGUAAUUCUUUCAUCCUCCCAGAAGUUCCUUGUGGGGAACCGACUAGUGCAAAGCAGCAUCAACAGAACCAUUCCCAAAUGGGGGAGAGCACAACUAAUUCUGGGGGACUGGCCUCCAGUGCAGCACAGGGACCAAAGCGCGAGCCCGAGCCUUGCCUACUGUGGCCAAAGAAGAAGCAGAGGGCCGUGCGGGACCAGAUCCGACGAGUCAUUGUGGAACUGGAGGGGAUUUUGCACGGCCUAAAAGAAGUUCAUUUGGAGAUGAAAGAGGUGGUCCAACAGAUUGAUCAUCUGACCUCUGCCAUAGACCUCACCGAGGACGAGCCACACACCGGUCUCCAUAGUGACACGCUGGGCAGCAGCAGCUCCAGCGGGGUGAUGGUGGGUGGGAAGGCGGAAGGGGACGACAGCGGGGACGUGGAGUCGGGGAGAGCCAACAGUGCCCCCUCCUCCCAAAAGAGCGUCCCCUCCGUGACCAGCAGCCCUGUGUCAUCCAGCACCGUGGCCAACUCUGCUGAGGACCACCGCAGUCCCUCGCCAAAUGACCCAUCUAGCAGUGAUUCUCCACCAGCUAACCAAUCCACUGACCCAAAGACUAAAACCAGGAAAGAAGGAAUGACCCCAGCUAUCUUCAAGGCAGCCACUCUGGGACCAAGGGGCAAGAAGCCCCCGCCGUACCCCCACCACAAAACAGCCAGGGCAGACAAUGAGAGAGAUGGUCUGAAAGCUCCCCCAUACCCCGUGAAACGCAGGCUGCUCUCCACCACUGUCUGA
ensembl:lncRNA